AUUGAACGCUAGCGGGAUGCUUUACACAUGCAAGUCGAACGGCAGCGCGGACUUCGGUCUGGCGGCGAGUGGCGAACGGGUGAGUAAUGUAUCGGAACGUGCCCAGUAGCGGGGGAUAACUACGCGAAAGCGUAGCUAAUACCGCAUACGCCCUACGGGGGAAAGCAGGGGAUCGUAAGACCUUGCACUAUUGGAGCGGCCGAUAUCGGAUUAGCUAGUUGGCGAGGUAACGGCUCACCAAGGCGACGAUCCGUAGCUGGUUUGAGAGGACGACCAGCCACACUGGGACUGAGACACGGCCCAGACUCCUACGGGAGGCAGCAGUGGGGAAUUUUGGACAAUGGGGGCAACCCUGAUCCAGCCAUCCCGCGUGUGCGAUGAAGGCCUUCGGGUUGUAAAGCACUUUUGGCAGGAAAGAAACGUAGCGGGCUAAUACCCCGUGGAACUGACGGUACCUGCAGAAUAAGCACCGGCUAACUACGUG
rnacentral:rRNA from 1 species